AGGGUUUGAUUCUGGCUCAGGAUGAACGCUGGCGGCGUGCUUAACACAUGCAAGUCGAACGAAGCACUUAAGAAUGAUUCUUCGGAUGAAUUUUUUUGUGACUUAGUGGCGGACGGGUGAGUAACGCGUGGGUAACCUGCCUCACACAGGGGGAUAACAGUUGGAAACGACCGCUAAUACCGCAUAACCCGCUAGGGCCGCAUGGCCCGGACGGAAAAGAUUUAUCGGUGUGAGAUGGACCCGCGUUGGAUUAGCUAGUUGGCAGGGUAACGGCCUACCAAGGCGACGAUCCAUAGCCGGCCUGAGAGGGUGAACGGCCACAUUGGGACUGAGACACGGCCCAA
rnacentral:rRNA from 1 species